rnacentral:rRNA from 1 species
AUGGAAAUCUACGGUGACCUCGAGGCCGGCUGCCUCAGCCAUUCCGUCUCUCCCAUCAAGCCGGCGUCCCCGCCGAGGAAGGCCGGGCCCGGCCGCCUCUUCUGCGACCCCUGCGACGACUCCGACCAGCUCCUCGGCCACCACCACUACCUGGACAUCUGCUUCAGCUGCCGGAAGCUCCUCGCCGGGAACAAAGACAUCUUCAUGUACAGAGGUGACACGCCCUUCUGUAGCGAGGAGUGCAGGCAGGAGCAGAUCGAGAUCGACGAGGCGAGGGAGAAGCGGUCGAGUCAGACGGGGAGGGCGGAGGAGCAGCGGCAGAGACAGCAGCAGAAGCAGAGCACCCCGAGGAUCCCGGUCUGGGCGUGGUAG